CCUAGACAAUCUAACGCGCUGAAGCUCAUCCUCUGGUCCGGCGCCGGACGCGCGCGCGGGUCCUCCUUUCCCUCUUCCUUGUUUUUUCUGUUGCUGCUCGUCCUGUCCAUGUCGGUCUCUCCGUCUUGCUCGAGCUUAUGGGUUUGUCUGUGCUCUCCGGCGGUCGUCCUGUGCGCAAGAUACGGUUCUCUGGCUAGUCCAUACUCUCUCUGGCUGUUCGGCACGAUUGUAGCAGCGGUGGCUCGUGAGUGGUCGGCUUUUAGGGUUGGGAGUAGAUCAAUUUUCUCGUUUGAUUUGCUCUGUUUUCCAUCGUCGUAGUUGAGGUUCUCCGGUUAGGUUUCCGGUCUAGCUGCACUGGUCUUGGCCGUGUCUAGGUUUUGGAAAACCGAUCUUCAUCAGAAAUUGGCAGUGGGAUUAUUUUCGGUGUCGGAGAGGACCGCUCCUCUUCUCUGCUGUUAGGUGAGCUCUGGUGCUUUCAAUUCGGAGGUAAGGCUAGAGCUAGGUGUGCAGGCGGAGUUGGCACCUGGUCUAUGUCCAGUCUUGCGUCGUGGCUUUAAGGGAGUUGUAUCCGCUUGCUUCACGGUGGAUUCUGUUGGUCGUCUAUGGUCUCCGGAGACUGUAUUCUUCCCGGCAUCACCUUGGACCUCCUUGAUUCGGCCGACUUUCCUUUCUCUCUCGGAGUAUUAGCGGCCGCUAAUCUUCUCUCCGGGUUAUGGUCUCGCUGUGCUUCAUUGUUUAACCCUAUCUGUUGGCACUGGCCGAGGGUUUUUGCAGCGUGGUUAUGGUCUUCGGUUCUCGAUGACCACAAGUGUGGAGGUGGUUCUCGGGGAGUCAUUGACCGCCUCCGUGUAACCGCUUGAUCUCAGUUCACAUCCCGGCGCCGCUUCAGCUUCUUUGCUCUCUCGCGGUGGUGAUCUUGAUAUACUAUGUAGGUUUCUCGAGGCUUUCAGGUUUGUUGGUCGCAGUGAUUACAACCCGCUCUUGUUCGGUUGUGGCGCCUUGGAGGUGUGUAUAGCUUCGGCUCUCAAGUAUCUUCUCGGUAAGGUUCUUGAUUCCACCACUUCUUAAGUUCGUCAAGUGCUUCAUAGUCAAUGACAGUUACGAGUCUCGAGCAUCGGGAACUAGCUACUCCGGAGGCAACUUGGGAAGUCCCGACAUCCGAGGAAACGAGGAGAACCUCACCUUCCCGCGAUCAUUGCCAAUGGUUGAGAACGGCGACCGAUUCUUAAGGAUUUUGAAAAUCAGACUAGUGGAACGUGCCGGGUUUAGUGGGUGGGCAAAACUAGAAUGUAAUAGAUUGACU
rnacentral:lncRNA from 1 species